rnacentral:rRNA from 1 species
CCUACGGGAGGCAGCAGUGAGGAAUAUUGGUCAAUGGGCGCGAGCCUGAACCAGCCAAGUAGCGUGAAGGGUGACUGCUCUCCGGGUUUUACACUUCUUUUAUAAAGGAAUAAAGUGAGGCACGUGUGCCUAUUUGUAUGUAUUUUAUUAAUAAGGAUCGGCUAACUCCGUGCCAGCAGCCGCGGUAAUACGGAGGAUCCGAGCGUUAUCCGGAUUUAUUGGGUUUAAAGGGAGCGUAGAUGGUUUGUUAAGUCAGUGGUGAAAGUUUGCGGCUCAACCGUAAAAUUGCAAUUGAUACUGGCAGUCUUGAGUACAGGUGAGGUAGGCGGAAUGCGUGGUGUAGCGGUGAAAUGCUUAGAUAUCACGAAGAACUCCGAUUGCGAAGGCAGCCUACUAAACUGCCACUGACAUUGAUGCUCGAAAGUGUGGGUAUCAAACAGGAUUAGAUACCCUUGUAGUC